AAUGAUAUUGUUUUUUAAAUUUUGGUCUUUAAUUAUUUGUUCCUAGGAUUUAGAAAUAUGAUUUCGUUCCUGUGUGUGUUUAUCUUGUAUUUUGCAAACUGGAUAAUGGACGCCAUGAGAAGCAGCUAAAUUAAGACCUCUUGCUAAUACGCUAGUCAGAAAGACUAUCAGGAACAUUUACCCUGCCCGCCCCAUCAUACACCCCAGCGUAUCAUUAUGAACAGACACUGAGGACAAGCAUGAAAUAAAGAAAACACUUCAGGAAACCACAGAGAGGUCUGGCUGGCAGGGAGCAGCCUUGGCCUGCUGAGUCCUCACAGCUUGCUAACCAGUUGGCUUUCUGGAGCCAUCAAACUAAGGCAGUGCCUGGAGCUUCUAGUAAGGUGCAGAUUCGGACAGAGGAAAAGGGAACAUUUGGGCACAGAUGCACGCAAGGAGAGCGCCGGGUGAAGACAAAGGCAGGGAUUGAGAUGGUGCAACAGAAGCCAAGGGAUACCAGAGAUGGCCAGCAAACCACCAGAAGCUAGGAGAGAAUCAUGAGCAAAUUCUCCCUCACAGCUCUUGGAAGGAACCAACCUUGAUCUGGGCUUCCUAGUUCUACAGUUCUGACACCUUGAUCUUGGAUUCCUAGUUCCAGAACAGUGAAACAACACACUUACGUUGUUUAAGCCACCCAGUCUGUAGUACUCUAUUACAGCAGCCCCGAGAGACCGAUACAGGAUGCUCAAUGACUUGCUCCUGAGCAGCCCUGAGCCAACACCAAGAAGUGCUCAAGACUCCCCCUUCAAGAGAGCCAAGUAACAGCUCUUGUCAUUCUUUCUUUUUUCAAAUAUCACCAUCCAACAGCGAGGAAAGCAAGAAUCAUGCGGAAGUUCCAUUGCUAAUGGUACCUGGAGAGCUCUGAAAUCUACAGCCAUACAACAACAGAGAGGGAGAGAGAGGAGGGGACACAAGCCAGGGUCUGCAGAGGGCCACAUCUGGUAACAAAGUGAUUUACCCCAUAGAACCCAGGAAAGGCACUGGCAUAGAGCAGGUUCUGCCAAAAUCUGCGGGGAGGGAUGCUAAAAAUAAGGUGUCCCUUCAAAGUCCACUUAAGGUGUUGUAGAUCCCAGAAUUCCUUCCACCAGUUUAUGCAGCCAGAUGAAUGCCCCCCACCCCACACCCACAACAGGAGACAGGAGGUUUAGGUCCUGAAGAGGUUGAGUCGGAAAUGCUGUGAAUUUGAGGCCAUCUGGCACAGAGCAGGUCAAGAUGAGCUAAGAGAAAGGAACUGGUGGAACCUGUCACCAACUAUAAAUGGGAUUGUUUUCUUAAUUUUUCUUUCUGAUACUUUAUUAUAAGUGUAUAGACGUGCAGCAGGUUUCUGUGUAAUGAUUUUAGUCUGGCGACCUUACUGAAUUCAUUUAUCCGUUCCAGUAGUUUCUUGGUGGUCUUUAG
rnacentral:lncRNA from 1 species